rnacentral:tRNA from 1 species
CCGGGGGUGGAGGGGGUUCGAUUCCCCCCGUCUCGCGAGGAGGAAAUGCGGGUUCGAAUCCCGUUCCCUGCG